rnacentral:rRNA from 1 species
GAUGAACGCUAGCUACAGGCUUAACACAUGCAAGCCGAGGGGAAACGACAUCGAAAGCUUGCUUUUGAUGGGCGUCGACCGGCGCACGGGUGAGUAACGCGUAUCCAACCUGCCCACCACUUGGGGAUAACCUUGCGAAAGUAAGACUAAUACCCAAUGAUAUCUCUAGAAGACAUCUGAAAGAGAUUAAAGAUUUAUCGGUGUUGGAUGGGGAUGCGUCUGAUUAGUUUGUUGGCGGGGUAACGGCCCACCAAGGCUACGAUCAGUAGGGGUUCUGAGAGGAAGGUCCCCCACAUUGGAACUGAGACGCGGUCCAAACUCCUACGGGAGGCAGCAGUGAGGAAUAUUGGUCAAUGGACGGGAGUCUGAACCAGCCAAGUAGCGUGCAGGAUGACGGCCCUAUGGGUUGUAAACUGCUUUUAUAAGGGAAUAAAGUGAGUCUCGUGAGACUUUUUGCAUGUACCUUAUGAAUAAGGACCGGCUAAUUCCGUGCCAGCCGCCGCAGUAA